GCCGGGCGCAGUGGUGCAUGCCUACAGUCCCAGCUACUUGGGAGGCUGAGGUGGGAGGAUCACUUCAGCCCAGGGGUUCUGGGCUGUAGUGUGCUGUGCCAGUCGGGUGUCCGCACUAAGUUCAGCAUCAAUAUGGUGAUCUACUGGGGGCGGGGGGACCACCAACUUGCCUAAGGAGGGUGAACCGGCCCAGGUCAGAAACAGAGCAGGUCAAAACUCCCAUGCUGAUCAGUAGUGGGAUUGCACCUGUGAAUCUGUGAAUAGCCACUGCACUCCAGUCUGGGCAACAUAGUGAGACCCGGUCUCUU
rnacentral:SRP_RNA from 1 species